AUUGAACGCUGGCGGCAGGCCUAACACAUGCAAGUCGAACGGUAACAGGAAGAAGCUUGCUUCUUUGCUGACGAGUGGCGGACGGGUGAGUAAUGUCUGGGAAACUGCCUGAUGGAGGGGGAUAACUACUGGAAACGUUAGCUAAUACCGCAUAACGUCGCAAGACCAAAGAGGGGGACCUUCGGGCCUCUUGCCAUCGGAUGUGCCCAGAUGGGAUUAGCUAGUAGGUGGGGUAACGGCUCACCUAGGCGACGAUCCCUAGCUGGUCUGAGAGGAUGACCAGACACACUGGAACUGAGACACGGUCCAGACUCCUACGGGAGGCAGCAGUGGGGAAUAUUGCACAAUGGGCGCAAGCCUGAUGCAGCCAUGCCGCGUGUAUGAAGAAGGCCUUCGGGUUGUAAAGUACUUUCAGCGGGGAGGAAGGGAGUAAAGUUAAUACCUUUGCUCAUUGACGUUACCCGCAGAAGAAGCACCGGCUAACUCCGUG
rnacentral:rRNA from 1 species